rnacentral:misc_RNA from 1 species
UUGUUUAAUUUACUUAAACUCCGACGCAAAGAUGCAGGGUUGGAGGGCCUCCGGGGGCGCUCGCCGUCGAAACGGCAGGGUCGCCCCCGAAGCAACAAGUUGUGUUCACAAAGGGUUGGAGGUCGAGCCCGAGGGCCCUCACUCAGUAAUGAUCCCUCCGCAGGUUCACCUACGGAGA